GUCUACGGCCAUACCACCCUGAAUGCACCUGAUCUGGUCUAAUCUCAGAAGCUGGGCAGGGUUGGGCCUGGUUAGUACCUGGAUGGGGUUACCAAAGGGAAGGUGGUUGUGGGGG
rnacentral:rRNA from 1 species